rnacentral:rRNA from 1 species
ACGUAGGGGGCGAGCGUUGUCCGGAAUGACUGGGCGUAAAGGGCGUGUAGGCGGCUUUUUAAGUCUGGAGUGAAAGCCCCUUUUUCAAGGAGGGGAGUGCUUUGGAGACUGGAGAGCUUGAGUGCGGAAGAGGUAAGUGGAAUUCCCAGUGUAGCGGUGAAAUGCGUAGAGAUUGGGAGGAACACCAGUGGCGAAGGCGACUUACUGGGCCGUAACUGACGCUGAGGCGCGAAAGCGUGGGGAGCGAACAG